rnacentral:rRNA from 1 species
GACGAACGCUGGCGGCGUGCUUAACACAUGCAAGUCGAACGGAAAGGCCCUGCUUUUGUGGGGUGCUCGAGUGGCGAACGGGUGAGUAACACGUGAGUAACCUGCCCUUGACUUUGGGAUAACUUCAGGAAACUGGGGCUAAUACCGGAUAGGAGCUCCUGCUGCAUGGUGGGGGUUGGAAAGUUUCGGCGGUUGGGGAUGGACUCGCGGCUUAUCAGCUUGUUGGUGGGGUAGUGGCUUACCAAGGCUUUGACGGGUAGCCGGCCUGAGAGGGUGACCGGCCACAUUGGGACUGAGAUACGGCCCAGACUCCUACGGGGGGCAGCAGUGGGGAAUAUUGCACAAUGGGCGGAAGCCUGAUGCAGCAACGCCGCGUGCGGGAUGACGGCCUUCGGGUUGUAAACCGCUUUCGCCUGUGACGAAGCGUGAGUGACGGUAAUGGGUAAAGAAGCACCGGCUAACUACGUGCCAGCAGCCGCGGUGAUACGUAGGGUGCGAGCGUUGUCCGGAUUUAUUGGGCGUAAAGGGCUCGUAGGUGGUUGAUCGCGUCGGAAGUGUAAUCUUGGGGCUUAACCCUGAGCGUGCUUUCGAUACGGGUUGACUUGAGGAAGGUAGGGGAGAAUGGAAUUCCUGGUGGAGCGGUGGAAUGCGCAGAUAUCAGGAGGAACACCAGUGGCGAAGGCGGUUCUCUGGGCCUUUCCUGACGCUGAGGAGCGAAAGCGUGGGGAGCGAACAGGCUUAGAUACCCUGGUAGUCCACGCUGUAAACGGUGGGUACUAGGUGUGGGGUCCAUUCCACGGGUUCCGUGCCGUAGCUAACGCUUUAAGUACCCCGCCUGGGGAGUACGGCCGCAAGGCUAAAACUCAAAGGAAUUGACGGGGCCCCGCACAAGCGGCGGAGCAUGCGGAUUAAUUCGAUGCAACGCGUAGAACCUUACCUGGGUUUGACAUGGAUCGGGAGUGCUCAGAGAUGGGUGUGCCUCUUUUGGGGUCGGUUCACAGGUGGUGCAUGGCUGUCGUCAGCUCGUGUCGUGAGAUGUUGGGUUAAGUCCCGCAACGAGCGCAACCCUUGUUCACUGUUGCCAGCACGUUAUGGUGGGGACUCAGUGGAGACCGCCGGGGUCAACUCGGAGGAAGGUGGGGAUGACGUCAAGUCAUCAUGCCCCUUAUGUCCAGGGCUUCACGCAUGCUACAAUGGCUGGUACAGAGAGUGGCGAGCCUGUGAGGGUGAGCGAAUCUCGGAAAGCCGGUCUCAGUUCGGAUUGGGGUCUGCAACUCGACCUCAUGAAGUCGGAGUCGCUAGUAAUCGCAGAUCAGCAACGCUGCGGUGAAUACGUUCCCGGG